UAGACUAGUAGACUGGCUACACAAA
rnacentral:piRNA from 1 species